CCCUUAGAUGUUCUGGGCAGCACGCGCGCUACAAUGGUCUUCGCAAACGGAUGCAUUCUCGAAGGAGAAUGCCAAUCUUGGAAUCUAUGCCUUGGUCGGGACAGUUGCUUGCAAUUUUUCGACUCGAACCAGGAAUUCCUUGUAAUCGUGAUUCAUCACAUCACGAUGAAUACGUCCCUGCCCUUUGUACACACCGCCCGUCGCUCCUACCGAUCGAAGAGUUAGGUGAAUUGUUUUGAUCGAUAAGAUUUGACUAUGGUCAACUCUCGUUUUGAAAUUCUGUGAAUCUGACUGUUUAGAGGAAGGAAAAGUCGUAACA
rnacentral:rRNA from 1 species